AUGGACGAGGCCCCAACUUCCCCGAAAUGGCACACGGUCGUUUCGAGACGCCGGCGGCGUGCACCGCCCGUAUCGCUUGCGGCACACCGCGGUUAUGGCCGCCUGCAAUCCGAGGCCGCCCGCCUCGAGGCUCAGCGUCGCCGGGCCGCCUUUUUAAGGAGGUUCAAGGGCUGCUGCUCGAGGUGUCUCGCUCCACACCACCGUGCCGCCGACUGCCGCAACCCUGUUCGGUGCGCCGACUGCUGGGGGUUUGGGCACCGAGCUCGCGACCCGAUCUGCAAGGGGCGCCCCAAACCCCACACCCCUCCCCCACCGCCGCCUGCCGCCACCCCGUCCCCAGCCGCCAUCACCUCCAUGCUCCCUCAUCUACCACCACCUGACCGGCCGCCCCUCCCGCCGCCACCCCCUCUUUUCCACCCGCCACCGCGCCAGCUGCCCGUCCCGCUCCUGCGCCCCCGGCAUCCUGCUGUGACCAUGGCGUACCGCCCUGGCGAGGCCUCGCAGCGCCCGGGCGCCAGCAGCACCUUCACCGUGAGCACGCAGGCCAUGGAGGAUGCAACACGCAAUCUGCGUGCUUCAGCUGUGCUGGUCACCAUGUCGGAGGCCAGACAAGACAUCAACCCGCAACUGGUAGCCAAGGCGCUGGAGCGCGAGCUCAAUAUCCCCUGGGACCAGAUGCACGUCUCCAAGCAUCACCCGGAGGAUUUCCUAGUCAGGUUCAGUCACUCGCGUCACCGCGACACCGCCGUGGAGGCCGGGGCAGUUCCAUGCCGGGGGGGUGGCUCUGACUCUGGCCCCUUGGACGCCGGCGGCGCGCGGUCACCAGCGGGUCUCCCGCUUCUACUGUCGCGUGGCGAUCGAGGGCCUGCCCGUUCAAGCCUGGCGCAAGGAUCCGGUUCAAGAUGCCAUUGGCCUCUCCUGCAAGGUCGAUCGGCUUGA
rnacentral:rRNA from 1 species